AUUGAACGCUGGCGGCAUGCUUUACACAUGCAAGUCGAACGGCAGCGGGGGCUUCGGCCUGCCGGCGAGUGGCGAACGGGUGAGUAAUGCAUCGGAACGUGCCCAUGUCGUGGGGGAUAACGUAUCGAAAGGUACGCUAAUACCGCAUACGUCCUGAAGGAGAAAGCGGGGGAUUCUUCGGAACCUCGCGCGAUUGGAGCGGCCGGGGUCGGAUUAGCUAGUAGGUGAGGUAAAGGCUCACCUAGGCGACGAUCCGUAGCGGGUCUGAGAGGAUGAUCCGCCACACUGGGACUGAGACACGGCCCAGACUCCUACGGGAGGCAGCAGUGGGGAAUUUUGGACAAUGGGCGCAAGCCUGAUCCAGCCAUGCCGCGUGAGUGAAGAAGGCCUUCGGGUUGUAAAGCUCUUUCGGCCGGGAAGAAAUCGUGUUCUCUAACAUAGGACAUGGAUGACGGUACCGGACUAAGAAGCACCGGCUAACUACGUGCCAGCAGCCGCCGUAAAAC
rnacentral:rRNA from 1 species